rnacentral:rRNA from 1 species
CUUUUCUUGUUUAAAUAUGAAGUAUAACCUGCCCAAUGAUAAUAUUAAAUGGCCGCGGUAUCUUGACCGUGCAAAGGUAGCAUAAUCAUUAGUCUUUUAAUUGAAGGCUGGAAUGAAUGGUUGAACGAAACAACUACUGUCUUAGGAUUAAUAAAUUUUAAUUUAAUUUUUAAGUUAAAAAGCUUAAAUUAUAUUUUGGGACGAGAAGACCCCAUAGAGUUUAUAUAUUGAUUAAUAGUUCUUUUGUUUGAUAGAAGUGUAAUUAUUAUUAGUAUUUGGUUGGGGUGACAUAAAGAUAAUAAUAACUCUUUUUUUUUGUUUAAUAUAGGUUUAUAUAUUUGUGAUCCAAUUAUUAUUGAUUAUAAGACUAAAUUACCUUGGGGAUAACAGCGUAAUUUUUUUUAAGAGUUCUAAUCGACAAAAGAGAUUGCGACCUCGAUGUUGGAUUAAGAUAAUUUUUGGGUGUAGAAGCUCAAGGUUUAGGUCUGUUCGACCUUUAAACUCUUACA